rnacentral:piRNA from 1 species
UUCUAUGAGGUGUUAUGUGCACUUCUAAG